rnacentral:rRNA from 1 species
AUACGAAGGGGGCUAGCGUUGUUCGGAAUUACUGGGCGUAAAGCGCGCGUAGGCGGACUGAUCAGUUGGGGGUGAAAUCCCAGGGCUUAACCCUGGAACUGCCUCCAAUACUGUCAGUCUUGAGUUCGGGAGAGGUGAGUGGAAUUCCUAGUGUAGAGGUGAAAUUCGUAGAUAUUAGGAAGAACACCAGUGGCGAAGGCGGCUCACUGGCCCGAUACUGACGCUGAGGCGCGAAAGCGUGGGGAGCAAACAGGAUUAGAUACCCUAGUAGUCC